rnacentral:lncRNA from 1 species
GUUGCUUUCUAGUAAUUUGACUGGAAAAUAAAAUUUGGCAAAAUAUCUAUACAUUUGUAUAGAUAUGUAAUUCAAGAUCACAGGAAAAAAUUCUGCUGGGUUGAGCACCCUAGAAAAUUUAGGCAAAUGUGACUUUCUGUGAAAUGCUGUGUGUGGUUGUUGCUAUCAACAUAUACAUGAUGUAUAUAUUGUACUUUGCUGCUGCGAUCUCAGGAACCACUUGUCUAAAGCCUGGUUUGGUUUGGAGCCAGCAAUGCAGCUAUUUACCUCCCCAAAUAUCUGCGACAGAGCAAGUCAAAAGGGAGUUAAAAUUACACAGGAUGCUUGUGAAGAAAAUGUGGUCAGCUGUGAACCUCAGACUUGAUCUCUUAAGUGAACUGAGAUGCACGAGGUGAAGCACUUCUGUCUUCCUGGGGACCUACGGCUGCUACAUUUUUCUUAAGUAGAGAAGGAUAAUUGCAUUUGUAUCUACUCUGCACGACUGCUCUGCUGCCAGGUUCUCAGUUGCUCUUCUUGCCUCAGUCCCUCCGGGAAAUUCAAUGAUACAGAAACUAAUCCUUCCAAAUAAUGCAGGUGUCAGAGGUCUGUGUAAGAGGAAGGCUUGGCAGAAUCUCUUGUGGAAAUUUACACAACAUCUGCCCACACAAUGGCUGGACAGUACUGUUCUUCCUUCAGUUGUCAGGUGUAUUGGAAUGUGUAUAGAAGAAAACCCAAAGAAAAUAGUAGAUCCAAGAUUCUAAUGCAUGAAAAAAAUGCAGUUAUUGUUGGAAAUAAAAACCAUUAUUCAUUUUUCA